UCUAGCGGCGAACGGGUGAGUAAUAAGUGCGAACAUGCCCCUUUGUGGAACAUAGCCCACCGAAAGGUGGAGUAAUUUUCCAUAGUCUCGAAAGAGUAAAGACGCAAGUCGCGAAGGGAGUGGCGUGCUCGCUACCAGCUUGUUGGUAAGGUAAUGGCUUACCAAGGCUAUGACGGCUACCGGCUCUUAGCGGAGAGUCCGGCACAAUGGGACUGAGACACGGCCCAUACUUCUACGGAAGGCAGCAGUUAGGAAUUUUGCGCAAUGGACGAAAGUCUGACGCAGCGACAUCGCGUGUGGGAUGACGGCCUUCGGGUUGUAAACCACUUUUGUUUGAGCAUGAAGCUCUUACGAAUAAGCAACUACUAACUACGUGCCAGCAGUCGCGGUAAUACGUAGGUUGCAAGCGUUACCCGGUUUUAUUGGGCGUAAAGCGUCUGUAGGUGGUUUUUUAAGUCUUGUUUCAAAGGCCUCGACUCAAUCGGGGAAAGGGGCAAGAUACUGGAAGACUGGAGUUAUAUCGGGGUUACUGGAAUUUGUGGUGUAGGGGUAAAAUCCGUGGAUACCACAAAGAACACCAAGCGCGAAGGCGGGCAACCAGGUAUAUACUGACACUCAGAGACGAAAGCUAGGGGAAUCAAUCAGAUUAGAGACCUGAGUAGUCCUAGCCGUAAACAUUGUCUGUUAAUUCUUCUGCAUUUUUGUGGAGGGAUGCAAGCUAACGCGUUAAACAGACCGCCUGGGGAGUAUAGCCGCAAGGCCGAAACUCAAACGAAUUGGCGGGGAGGCGCACAACCAGUGGAGCAUGUGGUCCAAUUCGAUACGAAGCGAUGAACCUUACCUGGGUUUGAAAUGUAUCUGCAAGCCUCUAGAAACAGAGGCCGCCUUCGAGGGUGAUACACAGCUGUUGCAUGGCUGUCGUCAGCUCGUGACGUGAGUUGUUCUCUUAAGUGAGGUAACGAGCGCAAUCCCUAUUCUGUGUUACUGUGCCACAGAAAACUGCCCAGCAUUAUUUUGUUGGGAGGAAGGAGGGGACGACGUCAAGUCAUCAUGAUGCUUAUAUCCAGGGCUACACACAUCCUACAAUGGAACGAAACAGAGGGUUGCAAUACCGCGAGGUGGAGCUAAUCCCUAAAGCGUUUCUCAGUUGGGAUUGCAGGCUGAAAUUCGCCUGCAUGAACCCGGAAUUGGUAGUAAUCGCAAAUCAGCAGAUUGCGGUGAAUACGUUCUCGCCUCUUGCACACACUGCCCGUCAAAUCAGCAAAGUUGGGGGUACCCAAAGCUUCACUUUUGUGGGGUUAAGGUAAAUCCAGCGAUGAGGGUUAAGUCGUAACAAGG
rnacentral:rRNA from 1 species